rnacentral:rRNA from 1 species
ACGGGUGAGUAACGCGUGGGAAUCUACCCAUCUCUACGGAAUAACUCAGGGAAACUUGUGCUAAUACCGUAUACGCCCUUCGGGGGAAAGAUUUAUCGGAGAUGGAUGAGCCCGCGUUGGAUUAGCUAGUUGGUGGGGUAAUGGCCUACCAAGGCGACGAUCCAUAGCUGGUCUGAGAGGAUGAUCAGCCACACUGGGACUGAGACACGGCCCAGACUCCUACGGGAGGCAGCAGUGGGGAAUAUUGGACAAUGGGCGCAAGCCUGAUCCAGCCAUGCCGCGUGAGUGAUGAAGGCCCUAGGGUUGUAAAGCUCUUUCAACGGUGAAGAUAAUGACGGUAACCGUAGAAGAAGCCCCGGUUAACUUCGUGCCAGCAGCCGCGGUAAUACGAAGGGGGCUAGCGUUGUUCGGAUUUACUGGGCGUAAAGCGCACGUAGGCGGAUAUUUAAGUUAGGGGUGAAAUCCCAGAGCUCAACUCUGGAACUGCCUCUAAUACUGGGUAUCUAGAGUUCGAGAGAGGUGAGUGGAAUUCCGAGUGUAGAGGUGAAAUUCGUAGA